rnacentral:rRNA from 1 species
CGGGGGGAGCAAGCGUUGUUCGGAAUCACUGGGCGUAAAGAGCGCGUAGGCGGUCCGAUAAGUCGGCUGUGAAAGUCCAGGGCUCAACCCUGGAAAGCCGGCCGAUACUGUCGGACUAGAGUCCGGAAGAGGCGAGUGGAAUUCCCGGUGUAGCGGUGAAAUGCGCAGAUAUCGGGAAGAACACCCGUGGCGAAGGCGGUUCUCUGGGACGGUACUGACGCUGAGACGCGAAAGCGUGGGGAGCGAACAGG